GUGUAUUCAAGGUAAAUGUAAGUUCUAGAAAUGACCUCCCAUCUUAAAUAAAUGAUGUAAAUAAGUCUAUGUUUAGAUCGAACUAAUAUUGAUAAGCCAUGUGUAUUUUGUAUAUGGGUCCUUGUGUUAUUGUACAUGUUAUGUCCGUUAAGUUACAUUGCCGAGUUUGCAGCAGUCGUAAAGCAAGUCGUGGGCAGCAACA
rnacentral:lncRNA from 1 species